UGAAAGUCGCUGAGAACAGACACCAAGAAGCCACCGUCCGCGUCGUUUCAUCCGCUUGCUUGAGCGCUUAUAAUUCUGUUCCGAGAGUUAAUUGUUUCCACGUUUCUGAAUACCUUCAUGUGCCCAUGAACAGCAGAGCCUUAGUCUACCUUGAAACCAAAAAAUUCCUUCCGACUGUCAGAUUGUCCAAACACCUGAACACCCGCAAGGGCAGUCGUCGUGGUAACGCAGGAAACCGCCUAGAGCUCCAAGUGCUUACCCAGCUAACGCACGUGCCGUAGUUUGCGCCGAGAAAGAUUCCCAUCUCUAAUUUGACCUUCACCGUACAGAUUUUAUAAAAUAAGUUGCACAACUCCGCUUUAACACAGCACCCCUUCAAUCAAGAAACGAUUUUUACUCGGAAUAGAAAGUAAAAAUGGUCCAGGGUGAAGCUAUCAACAGCAUGGCCAGAGGAUCGUCUCCGUCCUCCUCCUCAAGGAAAGCGGGCUAUGACGCCUUGCAGAAGAGCGAAAACGAGCGCCGCGAGAAGGAGCGCCAGGAGCAGCAGCGUCGCGACCAGGAGCGCCGGGAACGCGAACGCCGCGAGCAGGAGCGCCGCCAGGGUAGCAACUGGGGUCCCUACAAGAGCAAGGAGCAGUUCAACAGCAUGCACUUCUGCUAAGCGACUGAUCUAGAGAGGAAAUUUCUUAUAUUAAGCCUCGUAACGAAAUGCAGACUUUAGAGCCACGGCCCCCCUAUUGGCUUUAGUUUAAAAAAAGACUGCCUUUCUUCUUAUUAUGUUUUUUUUAUAUAUUACGUUUAUUGGAACUGAGAAAAGUUUAUAAUUACUAACAUUGCUUAUAAUGUGCCUUUAGAAUGCAAUAAAAUAAAAUUGCUUCCCACUGCCGUGUUUACUUUUGACAUGCAAAAAAAAACGAGUUUUCCUUGUAUGGAGAUGACGAAACUUCCCUAUCGUCUUGCAUUUUGUUACGAGGCUUAAUUUUGUCGCGAAUUUCGGAGACGACCUUGGCAACGAUCCACUGCUACCGCUGAAAAUAUAAUUAUACACAAACACACUAAAAGACCAUCGGCCAAUUCAACUUAAUUGAACUCUCGCAAAAGCGAACUGAUAUAUAGUUUAUGCUAAUUAUAGCCUCUCUAUAUAUUUCUUUUCGACACGAAAGGUUCAAACAAAAAAAAAUUCGCAAUUAUUUCAUACAUAUUUUAUUUUUAUAAUCUGUACGGUGAAGGUUAAAUUCUCUUAGUGGGUAGAAAACAUUCAUUCGCUUACACUUCUUGUAAUCGCGACUAACAUAUUUUUUUUUCACAGUUAAGUACAAAUUAAUUUGAGGUGACUUGAACUCUUAUAAACUGAUUUUUAAAUGUCUACAUUUUUUGUUCAUCAAUAAAAUCUAAAAGCAACCCA